rnacentral:lncRNA from 1 species
CCUCCUCCACCCGGUGAGGUCAGAUCAGCCCGGGGGGCGGCGCAGAGAGCUACCUGGCUUCCUCAGAGAGAGAGAGAGAGAGAGAGAGAGAGAGAGAGAGAGAGAGAGAGAGAGAGAGAGAGAGAGAGAGAGAGAGAGAGAGAGAGAGUUUGAGAAGUGCUCUGGACUUCCUGGUACGGGACCAUGGACGCUUCGUGCUCCACUUUACCCGGAGAACUACCUGCAGCGAUGUGAUCGAGCCAAAGGGACCGAGUGGAGAGCAAAGGUCAUGAGUGCCUCUCGGAGAGACCCAGUGGAGAAUAACCUCACCUGUCCAAAGCCCCGCCCUACCUGGGCCUCUACCUGCCCCCCACUCCUGGACUCCCAACCAUGAGUAAGUUCCUGAUUAUUGAUCAUUGAUUGUUUUCAACACGUCUCAGACCUUGAGACCCUUUUUGAGUGGCUGAUUUUUGGGCGUAUUUGACUUUCCUCCAAUGCCGGAUCGGUUUCUGGGGUUUGUUG